AUCUGCUAAAUAAAUGAGAUCUUAAGAAAAAACGAUUCUUUCUGAAGUAUUUCUUCAAAACCAUAAAACGACUACUCAAAAACGCUUUUGUAGUUGCUAAAGCAAUAUGGGAAUUCAUUUUAGUUCUUUAGAAUUCUUUUACUUCCUAAGCUUGGAGUUUUUGGAUUUAAAUAAGUUCAAAUCGUGAGGAUUUUGCUUUUAUACAAGAAGAUUAUAAUCGCUGGGGCCAUUAGGCGAUAGAAAAGCUUAACGAAAACGACGGGAAAGAGAUAUGUAAAUAGGUACACAGAACGAUAUAUUUUUGGUGCACAAGUACCUUAUAUUGGUAUGCAGGACUUAGUAACCACAACUAUCACGAGAAUCGUUCAAAUGAAUAAAACUAAAAACGA